rnacentral:rRNA from 1 species
GACGAACGCUGGCGGCGUGCUUAACACAUGCAAGUCACGGGGGCCCGCAAGGGCAACCGGCGAACGGGUGCGUAACACGUGAGCAAUCUGCCGAUUUCUGGGGGAUAGCCGGCCCAACGGCCGGGUAAUACCGCAUACGCUUGUCGUGGGGAGUCCCACGGCAAGGAAACCUCCGGGGGAAAUCGAGGAGCUCGCGGCCUAUCAGCUAGUUGGCGGGGUAAUGGCCCACCAAGGCGACGACGGGUAGCUGGUCUGAGAGGAUGGCCAGGCACAUUGGGACUGAGAGACGGCCCAGACUCCUACGGGAGGCAGCAGUGGGGAAUCUUGCGCAAUGGCCGAAAGGCUGACGCAGCGACGCCGCGUGGGGGAUGAAGGUUUUCGGAUCGUAAACCCCUGUUGCCCGGGACGAAACUCCUCUUUCGAGAGGAUUGACGGUACCGGGUGAGGAAGCACCGGCUAACUCCGUGCCAGCAGCCGCGGUAACAC